rnacentral:lncRNA from 1 species
CUUAAUUUUAGGUGUUGGGUAUUUUGUCGCAGCAAUGAGAGAGAAGUAACCAAGACAAAAGGCUUCCAUUUGGGGUAUUAAGUACAUAGCUUCUGUUUGUGUUUAGGAAGUCUUUCGGAUGCUGACUGCCUUACAAUUGGGAAUGGUCAGGAGAAUAUAAACGGCCUUAGGAAAACAAAAGAAAAUUUGCUUCAAAUUGAGGAGAAAUAAAACAAAAGAAUUUGUGGAUGAAAUAGAGACAAUUUCAGGGUUCCUGUGAAAAGAACUUUGAAAUAUUCCUAUGGAAAUAAUCCUAAUUCACAUGAGAAGCAAGACCUGAUAGAAGUUUAUUCACUAUGCAGAUUCUGGAAUCCUUUUUUCAAGCUUUCAAUCUUUCAUUACUACACUCUGGCCCUGGAGGGACCCCACAGCCUUUAAGACUGAAAUUUAAUUCCCAUCUUCUACAAUGGGAUACCAUGAUGAAUAAGCAAUAUCUGGAAAUCAGUCACUGAAUUUUUCAGAAGAAAGAAAUGGCAAGAUUACUUCUCAUCACUACUCAUUUUCCCUACAGGAAGUAUUUAGCAAGAUUGAUUAAAAACAUUUGCAGAUCAAUUCAAGCUGCAGGUGGGGAAAAAUACUUCAGCUCCAUCAGGACAGAGGCUUUGAAUGUUCUACACUGGGGAAGGUCCACUUCCACCUGGAAUCACAGCCACCACCUCAGACUUCUACUGAAACACCAGUAACAGCAUUACCAAGAUAACAUGAAUAAAAGGGCAGAAAUGCUAAAGGACAUCUUACGAGUCAGAACCUGGGUCUCAU